GUGGGGAAUAUUGGGCAAUGGGCGCAAGCCUGACCCAGCAACGCCGCGUGAAGGAAGAAGGCUUUCGGGUUGUAAACUUCUUUUACCAGGGACGAAACAAAUGACGGUACCUGGUGAAUAAGCCACGGCUAACUACGUGCCAGCAGCCGCGGUAAUACGUAGGUGGCGAGCGUUAUCCGGAUUUAUUGGGUGUAAAGGGCGUGUAGGCGGGACAGCAAGUCAGAUGUGAAAACCAGAGGCUCAACCUCUGGCCUGCAUUUGAAACUGUUGUUCUUGAGUGUCGGAGAGGUAAUCGGAAUUCCGUGUGUAGCGGUGAAAUGCGUAGAUAUACGGAGGAACACCAGUGGCGAAGGCGGAUUACUGGACGAUAACUGACGCUGAGGCGCGAAAGCGUGGGGAGCAAACAGGAUUAGAUACCCCAGUAGUCC
rnacentral:rRNA from 1 species